UUGGGCCUCGCUGACACCACCAACCAAAACCUGACACCUCCCCGUCCCACGUGCCUCUGCGGAGCACCAGCUCUGCAGUGCAGUGCAGUGCAGGAGAAGCCUGUUGGGACGGGACUUGCCACUUUGCCAGUGCACAACGGAAGCAUCGACCGCGUCGCCGCACUCCAGUCCUCCACCAUGGCCGAGGAGCACCUGCUGGCACUAGCGCUUCCGCCCACCAAAGGCAACAAGGAGGCCUCGCCAGGGGCCACGGCGGCGGAGGCAGAGCGCGCGCGCCGCCGCCGCAUGUCCAGGCUCUACGCCGAGCUGGGUGCGCAGCUCCCCGGCCUGCCCCCUCGGGUCCGUCCGUCCACAUUUUCUUCCCGACACCUGGUCCAUUCUUCCUCGGCCAUGGCCUCACGUUCCCACCACGCCGUGCAGGCAAACAUGGCGCGGAUCCUGGAGGACGCGAUCGCCUACGUGGGGGUGCUGCGGGCCACGGUCGCGGGGCUCGAGGCGCGCGCCGCGUUCGCGAGGUCAGCGCGGACGGCCGCGCCCGCCGACGUGCUCGUGGCUAGGAAGGCGUCGUGCUUCGUCGUCCGCCUGGCGGAAGCGCCGCGGCGCGCUGACGCGCGUGCUGGAGGUGUUCCAACGGCACGCUGA
rnacentral:misc_RNA from 1 species